GGUGCGCUCCACCAUUCCCGCCGACCGCUUCUCCUGCGCAGAUCGGCGAGACGCGGGGCGUCCGCGAGGAGCUCGACGCAGCCCCGUCCCAGCCCGAGCUCGGGAGUCGGCGAGGGACAUCCGCGCGCCCCGACCCGCAGGUGCUUUUCACUUUAGAUUUUACAGAUUCACUGUCAAGACAGUUGCUUAUCAACAGGAAAAGAGGCAAAAUAAGUGAUAGCCUUUUCUUCAAAGGUUUACCCCCUAAUGCAUUAAGCCCAAUACAUCCUCCUUAAAAAGACAAAAAAGGCAAAGCGCUUUGAAGAGCUCACCCUUAUGGUUCUCUAAAGAAGCCUCACUGAAGUGUCAAAGGACACCUGGUACCUGCCACCUUUGCUUGGAAACUGAGAAGUUGUGUUGUGCUGCAGUGUUUGCUGAUGCUAUCACGACAGAAGGAAUGCUGAUUCUGUCCCUUUUAACGCCUGUGUGAAACUGACUUUUCAUACACUGUGCAUUC